AUGAAAUAGCAAUGCGUAGUGUAGAAGAUCACAUGACAACCAUAAUAAGUGAAUCAGUGCUUGCUUUAUCAAAAAGCAAUCAAAGCAUGACUAUCAUAAAUUUUGUUGAACUUUGUACUUUUUACUUUUGGAAAGCUACACGGUGUGGGUUUUGAAAAUAAACUCAGUUAAUGUCCAAUGUUACAAUAGUAUCUGAUCUUCAUAUUAAGGUGGCCCAAGAAGACCUAACGGUCUUGUUACAGAGCAACGCGGAAGUGCAUUUAACCAAGAAGUUCACGCCUCCUUCCUUACCGUGACGCGAAAAUAUGUCCAAAGUUCAUUUCGAGCCUGCUUAUAUAGCAAGCGCUCUAACCACUCCGCCACGGCCACACAAAACCCUCAUCUGUUGUUUUGUAGUCACAGAUAAAAAUUCCGACAUCUCUUUGA
rnacentral:lncRNA from 1 species